UAAGAGUGAGGUGGAGGAGGACAUUCUAGUCCAUGUGACCACAGAAAAUCCCAGUAAGAACUCUGAGGAAAACUUCAUGUUAUCACUAAAUUAUAAAGGAGAAGAUGAAGAUAUCGGGCAUGGCUUUUCAUGAGAAAACCUCAUUACCUAUAAUGUCCAUCCAGGACUUCACAGACCAGAUCUGUCAUAUAAUGCUCCUAAUCAUAAGAAACCUUCUCCUGACCAAUCACAGACUGUUAUCACAAGUACUGGGCCGAAAGAGGCUACAAGUUUUCAGUGUGGGAAAUGUGGAAAAAAGUUCACAAACAUCUCAGGUCUAAAUGGACACAAAAGAAGUCACACAGGAGAGAAGCCAUAUUCAUGUUCAGAAUGCGGCAAAUGUUUUACAAAUAAGUCAAGACUUUUUAGACAUCAGAAAAUUCACACAGGAGAGAAACCAUUUUCAUGUUCUGAAUGUGGGAAAUGUUUUGGACAUAAAUCAGAUCUUGCUAAACAUCAGAGAGUUCACACAGGAGAGAAGCCGUAUCCAUGUUCAAAAUGUGAGAAAGGUUUUAUAUAUAAAUCACAACUUGCUGAUCAUGAGAAAAGUCACAAAGGAGAGAAGCCGUAUUUAUGUUCAGAAUGUGGGAAAUGUUUUAAAUAUAAAUCAAAUCUUGCUGAUCAUGAGAGAAGGCACAAAGUAGAGAAGCCAUAUUCAUGUUCAGAAUGUGGGAAAGGUUUUAUAUAUGAAUCACUGCUUGUUGAUCAUGAGAGAAGUCACACAGGAGAGAUGCCGUAUUCAUGUGCAGAAUGUGGGAAAGGUUUUCAUUAUAAAGGGAGCCUCAAGGUGCAUCAGAUAAGUCACACAGAAGAAAAAACAUUUAUAUGCUCCAAAUGUGGUGACUGUUUUACAAAAAAGUCAGGUCUUGUUUCACAUGAGAAAAUUCACACAGGAGAGAAGCCAUUUUGAUUUUCUUUAUGUGAAAAAGAAAAACAGAAUUUUAAACUCAUAAGAGAAUUCACAUAUAGAAGAAAUUAAAUUGUUGUUUGGAAUGUGGGAAAAGUUUCCAUGCAUUAAACAGCCUAUAUAAGAGUAUAUUUUUCUGUGGAAUUAUCCUGGGUCUGCCAA